GAUGAAGAACGUAGCGAAAUGCGAUACGUAAUGUGAAUUGCAGAAUUCAGUGAAUCAUCGAAUCUUUGAACGCAUAUUGCGCUCUCUGGUAUUCCGGAGAGCAUGCUUGUUUGAGUAUCAGUAAACACCUCAACUCCCCUUUCUUUUUUUGAAAUGGGAGCUGGACUUGAGUGAUCCCAACGCUUUUCUCACCGAAAAGUGGCGGGUUACUUGAAAUGCAGGUGCAGCUGGACUUUUCUCUGAGCUACAAGCAUAUCUAUUUAGUCUGCCUAAAAAACAGAUUAUUACCUUUGCUGCAGCUAACAUAAAGGAGAUUAGUUCUUGUGCUGACUGAUGCAGGAUUCACAGAGACAGCUUCGGCUGGCCUUUGUAAACUCGAUCUCAAAUCAAGUAAGACUACCCGCUGAACUUAAGCAUAUCAAUAAGCGGAGGA
rnacentral:misc_RNA from 1 species